AGAGUUUGAUCAUGGCUCAGAUUGAACGCUGGCGGCAGGCCUAACACAUGCAAGUCGAACGGUAACAGGAAGCAGCUUGCUGCUUUGCUGACGAGUGGCGGACGGGUGAGUAAUGUCUGGGAAACUGCCUGAUGGAGGGGGAUAACUACUGGAAACGGUGGCUAAUACCGCAUAACGUCGCAAGACCAAAGAGGGGGACCUUCGGGCCUCUUGCCAUCAGAUGUGCCCAGAUGGGAUUAGCUGGUUGGUGAGGUAACGGCUCACCAAGGCGACGAUCCCUAGCUGGUCUGAGAGGAUGACCAGCCACACUGGAACUGAGACACGGUCCAGACUCCUACGGGAGGCAGCAGUGGGGAAUAUUGCACAAUGGGCGCAAGCCUGAUGCAGCCAUGCCGCGUGUAUGAAGAAGGCCUUCGGGUUGUAAAGUACUUUCAGCGGGGAGGAAGGUGUUGUGGUUAAUAACCGCAGCAAUUGACGUUACCCGCAGAAGAAGCACCGGCUAACUCCGUGCCAGCAGCCGCGGUAAUACGGAGGGUGCAAGCGUUAAUCGGAAUUACUGGGCGUAAAGCGCACGCAGGCGGUCUGUCAAGUCGGAUGUGAAAUCCCCGGGCUCAACCUGGGAACUGCAUUCGAAACUGGCAGGCUUGAGUCUUGUAGAGGGGGGUAGAAUUCCAGGUGUAGCGGUGAAAUGCGUAGAGAUCUGGAGGAAUACCGGUGGCGAAGGCGGCCCCCUGGACAAAGACUGACGCUCAGGUGCGAAAGCGUGGGGAGCAAACAGGAUUAGAUACCCUGGUAGUCCACGCCGUAAACGAUGUCUACUUGGAGGUUGUGCCCUUGAGGCGUGGCUUCCGGAGCUAACGCGUUAAGUAGACCGCCUGGGGAGUACGGCCGCAAGGUUAAAACUCAAAUGAAUUGACGGGGGCCCGCACAAGCGGUGGAGCAUGUGGUUUAAUUCGAUGCAACGCGAAGAACCUUACCUGGUCUUGACAUCCACGGAAGAAUUCAGAGAUGGAUUUGUGCCUUCGGGAACCGUGAGACAGGUGCUGCAUGGCUGUCGUCAGCUCGUGUUGUGAAAUGUUGGGUUAAGUCCCGCAACGAGCGCAACCCUUAUCCUUUGUUGCCAGCGGUCCGGCCGGGAACUCAAAGGAGACUGCCAGUGAUAAACUGGAGGAAGGUGGGGAUGACGUCAAGUCAUCAUGGCCCUUACGACCAGGGCUACACACGUGCUACAAUGGCGCAUACAAAGAGAAGCGACCUCGCGAGAGCAAGCGGACCUCAUAAAGUGCGUCGUAGUCCGGAUUGGAGUCUGCAACUCGACUCCAUGAAGUCGGAAUCGCUAGUAAUCGUGGAUCAGAAUGCCACGGUGAAUACGUUCCCGGGCCUUGUACACACCGCCCGUCACACCAUGGGAGUGGGUUGCAAAAGAAGUAGGUAGCUUAACCUUCGGGAGGGCGCUUACCACUUUGUGAUUCAUGACUGGGGUGAAGUCGUAACAAGGUAACCGUAGGGGAACCUGCGGUUG
rnacentral:rRNA from 2 species